rnacentral:rRNA from 1 species
UACGUAGGGUGCGAGCGUUGUCCGGAAUUAUUGGGCGUAAAGGGCUCGUAGGCGGUUUGUUACGUCGGGAGUGAAAACUCGGGGCUUAACCCCGAGCCUGCUUCCGAUACGGGCAGACUAGAGGUAUGCAGGGGAGAACGGAAUUCCUGGUGUAGCGGUGAAAUGCGCAGAUAUCAGGAGGAACACCGGUGGCGAAGGCGGUUCUCUGGGCCGAUAUUGACGCUGAGGAGCGAAAGCGUGGGGAGCGAACAGG